CCAGACUUAAAUGAGAAAUCUAUAAAUACAGAAGUGUAAAGCAAAAUAAGCGUCUCCAAUUGUAGAUUCAAUAUAUUCCACAUACACAUUUAUUUUUCUAAAUUAUCACUUGGAACUGCAUUAUAAAACAUUAUGUUUUAGAUUUCCAUUGGAAUACUUUUACACGUUGUUAUUUCUGCUUUUUGUGUAAUUUAUGGCACUACCUGCAUAUCACUUUCUAACCUAAAAAGGUUUUUUUUCUAUUUAUCAUCAGUUCCUAUUUUACAAUUUCCAGAGUAAAAUAAAAUUUUAAGGAGUCUGCACUCUGAAAUUUAAAUCGUUUGUUAUGCUUGUACAGUUCUUCAGAUGUCCUCAAAAAUGCUUGUUUGGUUUUCAUGUCACUGAAUUAAUACUAUUUUUCAUUCAGGGAUAGAAUUCUAGAACAAAGUUUUAUAACAAACACCUAUUUUUAAAGUGGAAUCUCUUUAGGUGCAUUGAGAGCAAAAAGGCGCGACAGAUUUGUUACGGCUAGAGAGAUACAAUUUAGGAAGAGUGAGAGUGAGAAAAUAGGCAGAGCAUCUCGCGAACCAUUCCACCGUGGAGGAGACUUGAAUACAUAAACAAAGUUAUAAAGCCCAUGCAGCCAAGCAUAAUACUGUGUAUGUAUCUAGACCAAAACAAAUUAAAUUAAUGAUACCAUCAA